rnacentral:lncRNA from 1 species
GAGAGCGGGUGAGAGGCUGGAUCGGCGAGUGAGAGAAAGAGAGGGAGAGGAGCGAGCGCGGCUCGCCUCGUCGCCGGGGCAGCUCCACAUUGUUGCGGAUCGCCCGCACCCAGCGCGGUGGCGGCGGUGGGGACCCGUGGCGCACCCAGCUCGCUCCCCUCGCUCCUCGGAGACCGUGCAGCCCAGAGCCCCGCGGGCAGCUGGCCGCUGUAGCCGCACACCACCGCCUGGGCCCCGAGCCCUCCUCACCGCCCGGCCACCCUCGGAGAACAACCGGCCAUGGACGCCUGCAAGUUGGAGCCGAGCGGGAGGGUGUGAGCGCGCCCCAGGGCCGGGAGCCUGCGCCGCGUUAGCCCGGUAGCCGGGCGAGCCGGGGGUGGGUCCCUCUCCCCAGCCCCGCUUUGCGUGGAAGAAGAGGGCGGGGACCGGGGCGAGGAGGAGAGCGGAGGAGGCGAAGGGGGCAUGACUCGUGCAACUUACUGCGGGCAUCUGCCGAGGCUCUGAGCCGGCGGCAGCCGGGGCCCGGAUUGCGGCCGC